rnacentral:rRNA from 1 species
AAUCAACGCUGGCGGCGUGCCUCAGACAUGCAAGUCGAACGCGAAAGUUUCCCUUCGGGGAAGCAAGUAGAGUGGCGUCCGGGUGAGUAACACGUAGGUAAUCUACCUUUGGGUGGGAAUAACAACCGGAAACGGUUGCUAAUACCGCAUAAUGCAGCGGCAUCACAUGAUGACAGUUGUUAACGCGGGGGAUCGCAAGACCUCGCGCCUAAAGAGGAGCCUGCGGCGGAUUAGCUAGUUGGUAGGGUAACGGCCUACCAAGGCAACGAUCCGUAGCCGGCCUGAGGAGGGCGGUCGGCCACACUGACACUGAAAUACGGGUCAGACUCCUACGGGAGGCAGCAGUCGGGAAUUUUGGGCAAUGGGCGAAAGCCUGACCCAGCAACGCCGCGUGAAGGAUGAAAUCCCUCGGGAUGUAAACUUCGCAAGAACGGGAAGAAUAAGUGGAAGUUAAUACCUUCCAUGAUGACGGUUACCGUUU